rnacentral:rRNA from 1 species
UGGGGAAUUUUGGACAAUGGGGGCAACCCUGAUCCAGCAAUGCCGCGUGAGUGAAGAAGGCCUUCGGGUUGUAAAGCUCUUUUGUCAGGGAAGAAACGGUAGUAGCGAAUAACUAUUACUAAUGACGGUACCUGAAGAAUAAGCACCGGCUAACUACGUGCCAGCAGCCGCGGUAAUACGUAGGGUGCAAGCGUUAAUCGGAAUUACUGGGCGUAAAGCGUGCGCAGGCGGUUGUGUAAGUCAGAUGUGAAAUCCCCGGGCUCAACCUGGGAAUUGCAUUUGAGACUGCACGGCUAGAGUGUGUCAGAGGGGGGUAGAAUUCCACGUGUAGCAGUGAAAUGCGUAGAUAUGUGGAGGAAUACCGAUGGCGAAGGCAGCCCCCUGGGAUAACACUGACGCUCAUGCACGAAAGCGUGGGGAGCAAACAGGAUUAGAUACCCGUGUAGUCCCUGAGCGGGCUGGCAAGGCGCAU